rnacentral:rRNA from 1 species
GAAGGGGUGUAUUUAUUAGAUAAAAAACCAAUGCCCUUCGGGGCUUCUUGGUGAUUCAUAAUAACUUAACGAAUCGCAUGGCCUUGCGCCGGCGAUGGUUCAUUCAAAUUUCUGCCCUAUCAACUUUCGAUGGUAGGAUAGUGGCCUACCAUGGUAUCAACGGGUAACGGGGAAUUAGGGUUCGAUUCCGGAGAAGGAGCCUGAGAAACGGCUACUACAUCCAAGGAAGGCAGCAGGCGCGCAAAUUACUCAAUCCCGACACGGGGAAGUAGUGACAAUAAAUACUGAUACAGGGCUCUUUUGGGUCUUGUAAUUGGAAUGAGUACAAUUUAAAUCCCUUAACGAGGAACAACUGGAGGGCAAGUCUGGUGAACUAUCGACAGUUUCUACUGCUGACGCCAGAGAUAGUAGGGCUUUGGAACCUCCCUUGAGGAGGUUCAAAGUUAUGCCUGCUAGUCGAGCAUGUACAAUAGCGAUGGGUGCAUGCCGGCGAGGUGACCUGGUACGGGGAAACCU